CAGGGUCUACAGUUUGGUACCCGUGAACUGGAAGAGAUGGGAGCCAUGUUCUGCUUGGGCCUCCUCAUCUUGGAACUCAAGUCUGUAAGCUGCAGCCAUCAGCUCCUGACCCGCGCAGCAACUCUACUGAAUGCCACAGAGGAAUCUCUGGACCACCACCUCCAACGAUGCAGCAGCAGUAGCAGCACCACUUCAGAACUGGAUGAUGAACCUCCCUGCCUGGAGGAGAUUGAUUACAGUACCGACAGCAGCUCAGACCAGGAAGGGAACUUCUCCGAGCUGGACCGCCAAAUCCAGGAGUGCGCUUUCAAGAAGGAUGAGGGAGAGGAAGAAGAGGAGGGGCCAGGGCAGGAAAGAAAAGCCAUCUCAUAACCCCAAGCCUCAUCAAGUGUUGUGCCUCUAACUAUUGGAUUAGCUGCUAUGUUGUUGCUUUACCAUCAGACACACAAAAUUUUGGCCAUAUGAAGUCAACCACUUUACAUCCAGAUUUUGUCCUAGUUUUGUUAUGCCUAGAGAGUGGCUGCUUCUUAAUUACAGCACUUUGCAUAUAUAGUUAGGUGGCUUUUGGGGCCCAUGCAUGUUGUCAUUAUGCUAGAAUAGAAGACUUUUCAAGACGACUAUGGAUCCUCUGAAGACUGUUCGGAGCUCUUUUCCAUUCCUGUGCUUGAAACUGGAGGAGUAGGAAUUGGACUUUCUUCAUAUUUUCUCAGCCAGAAUUCUAAGUGAUUAAGUUGUUCUAUAGAUGAGUGUUACCCCCCACCCCUGUUGUUUCCUUACUCUACCAUUGGAGCAACUCAUCCCAAACCCUGAGCCCCACAGAGACAUCAGGAGUCCUCAGAGGGUUUUCAGUUGCUUGGUGAUUGAUCAUAAAGGCUGUAUAAUCAAGUAAUCACCUCUAGUUGAUUUUAAUAGUAUACAUUUUGCAGAUCCAGUAUAAGCCAGGAGCUGUCCUAGAUUCUAAGGGAAGGGGCACAAUGUUGAAUAAGAUAUGGCCAUUGGCCUUAAUAAAUUUGAAAAUCCUAUGAAAUUCAGACCACUAGCCAUGAUCCUAAGAGGCCACAAGGCAUGGUGGGCAAUUCAUUCAUUUUAAAAUCAGAUAUAUGUGGCUCAUAUCUUGAAGCUGGCAGUUACUUGUUAUGAGAACUCAGGCAAGUAAUUAAAUCUCCCUAAACCACAGUUCAAUGAAGAUAAGUGUAUCUAUAUCAUAGUUAUUGUGAAGAUGAAAUGAAAUAAUAUGUAAAGUAUACAGUUUGGCACAUGGUAGACACUCAACAACAUUGGCUUGUUUUCUGCCUAACACAGGCAGAGCAUUCUGUGGAUGUAUUCUCACCAUUAAAAAAAAAAUCUAUGGAGUUCCCGUCGUGGCGCAGUGGUUAACGAAUCCGACUAGGAACCAUGAGGUUGCGGGUUCGGUCCCUGCCCUUGCUCAGUGGGUUGACGAUCCGGCAUUGCCGUGAGCUGUAGUGUAGGUUGCAGACGCGGCUCGGAUCCCGCGUUGCUGUGGCUCUGGUGUAGGCCUGUGGCUACAGCUCCGAUUCGACCCCUAGCCUGGGAACCUCCAUAUGCCGCGGGAGUGGCCCAAGAAAUAGCAAAAAGACAAAAAAAAAAAAAAAAUCUAUGGAGUCAUAUGGUUGGGAAGCACUCUCUUCCUGGAGGGGAUCAGGCAGAGAGGUUGCAUAGGAGCAGAGCCUAAGAGGUUGGCAUUGCUUAGAACAAGUGAAAAUGGAGCCACAUCCUUCAACAUACAGAUAGAAACAGUUUAAAAAUUUGAAAGAUGAGAUAUCCAGGGCCAAUGCAGAAAGAAUGAGAGGAGGCAUGGAAGGCAGAUUAGAAUGGAAGAUAAAAUGGAGAGAAGAUGUUAGAUCAAAUUUAUGUUCAUCCAGAUACCGGAUAUACUGAGUUAGAAUUAAGCUUGGCUAUGAGAGAUGGAAAAUUCAGAACAGCAGUAGCUUUUGUAAAAUUAAAGUCUAUUUAUUGCUCAUGUGGAAUCUAGAUAUAAGCAGGCCAGAGCUGGUAUCUUGAGUGCAUGGUGUCAUGUACUCAGUUUCAGCAGCUUUCUACCCUUUCAGGUAUUGCUUUUCCUCUUGGUCUAAGAUAGCUGCUGAAGCAUCAGACUUUGCAUCUGCAUCCCAGUCAGCAGUAAGAAGGACAGAAAAGAACAUAUUCUCUGUAUUUCCAAAACUAUGCAUUAUGCUUCUGCUCAAUCUCACCAUGCAGUGGUGAGAAUACAGGUAGCUGAAAAAGAGGUUUAAAAAUGUAGUCUUUAUUUGAGGUAGCAAGGCUAGAACUUUUAAAUUUUAAUAUUAAGGGAAAAGGAAAAAAUGCAUAUUGGGGAUCAAAUCAAAGAGACUUUCCCCGAUACACCUAUCACCAACAAGAGAUUUUAGAAAAAGAAUAAUUUCAGGUAAAACUCAUAGUCCACAGUUCUAGACCAGCAAAGAGCCUCAGGAAAAAAAAAAUGCUGUAAUGUAGCCCUGAGGCAUACAAGAAACUUAUGGCUGUGCUGUGAUUUUUGAAAUAUUUAUUAUUAUUAUCCCUUAGUUUUCCAACUCCCUUUCAAGUUUCUUUGCCAUCAUUCAGAAAUCACAACUCAUUCUUUGUAUCAAGGCAUUCAGGUUUCUGUAAUAUGCACAAAAGGUUUAAGGGAAAUAAUAAGACACUGGAUUCAAAUCCAAGCUGGAAGCAUCUCUUAACUUUACCGACAUUCAAUAUUUCCACUCUUAGAGGAUGGCAUAAUGCUUCUGUUUUUUUCAUUGCUUUGAGGGUCAAGAAGAUAAUAUUGUUGAAAAUGUAAAUGGUGACAGGGAUGGAAAUUAUACUAAUUCAACAUCACCAAAUCACAUCUCUGCUCAAAAUUGCUUAUUUAUAAUGUUUCUGAGAAUAUGACCAGGGCAGGUAAAUUCUAUGUGGUAUGUUCAGGAAAAGCCAGAAACAUAAACUAUUGAUUCAUCUACAUAAAAUAUAUAUUAAUUACCUGGACUCACUCUGUGUCAAGUUACUGAAAGCUUAGAGGAGAGAUGGACAGUAAACAUUUUAUUUUCAUUCAGUGGCACAUGGCAUUAUGGAGCUAUGCAAAUGUGGAUUCAGAAUCACUUCAUCUAACAGAGGCAGUGGUGGUGCAAAAAGUCUACCCAAAGCGAUGAUAAUUUAGUGACUUUUUUGAGGAUGUGUAAGAGUUCCUGGUUAUAAAGAAGAGGAAGGACACGCUAAAAAGUGGGAAGAGCUUGUGCAAAGGCCCUGUGGUAGGUUUGGCACUAGGAAUAAAAUGUCCAAUGUAACUGAUUUAAAAGAUGUACUUCUAUGUGGGCAAAGGAGAUGAGUGACAAGACAGAAAAUCAAAAAGAUAUACAUGGAUCAGAUCAAGCAACAUUUGUCAUUCCUUGAUGAAAAGGUCAGAUUUUAUUCAGAAUGUGCUGGAGGGAGACAAAGAAUUUUCAGCAGAGGCAUGGCCAGGAUAGAUGUCUCCAUGUAUACAUCAUCCUUCUGAACCACUUAUGACUGAUUGACUGUCACCCUCACUGUGCUGGUUGCUCAGUGGUCUGAGAAGUACACUGCGUGUGACAUUAUCAUAUUUGAAGAGCAGCAGGUUUGGGAUAAGGUGAAAGAUAAGGAGUGCAGUUUGGGGCCAUGUUGAGUACUGGGUUCUAUGAGAUGUUCAAUUGGAAAAAGACUUCUCCAGAAGUAUAUCAGAAAAAUAUGUAUAAAAUGAGCUAUAUACAGUGAGCUUGAGGACUUGGGUGGAAGUCUUGAGUAAAUGAGCCCAGGUGCCAGCCAGUUGGAGGAGUUUGCUUGGAGGGAACAAGAGAGUGGGGAGGAAAGCAGACUUUCCUCCAUUCCUGCUGGGAUGGAAGGCCAUUCUGUGUCACACCUCACCCAUCUUCAGUCUACGGGUUGGGAAGGCUCAUCAUAGGUCAAGCACAGAGGGCCCUAGGAGUGGCUUUUCCAGCCUGGCCAGACAUGUGUAUUGCUGGCCAAACCACUAUGGUAAAUUGUGCUGAAAAAUGUUCUAUCGAACUCGGAGCCAAAUGAGAUUAUGCAAGAAUUCCGAUGAGUUGUAAGCUGUAAUAGGAAGCAUAUGAGGUUCAAAAUGUGCAGAGAAAUUGUAUCAAAAGAGGUGAUGUGGGGUCCAGGCCAUAUGCAUGGCAGUUGCUGUCUGGGGCUCUGCACGGCUGAGCUAGAACAGGGGACCUUCUUCACCCCCAGGACAGUCAUCAAGGGUAGAGAAACAUAAGACUUCUUGUGAUUUCCUAAGAGUCAUGUUUCCAGGAUCCCCUAAGCAUGGAAUCUGCUGUCUCUUCAUAACACUUCCCUAUAAGAGUCCUUUUGGCUACUUUAUAGACUCAGGUUCUACCAUUCUCCAUCUUCAGGUUACCAUGGAACAUGGCCUCAUCUUAUCUCAUCAUAGUUGUCUAAGCACAUGAACAUACAUAAAAAUACAUGUACACACACACACACACACACACACACAUUCUUCUUGAGCCACAUAUCUACCUAAAUGCUCUCUUUGAGUUUUUAAGUUUUUUCUCAUUUUCCCUCUCUCUGAUAAGCAUCUUUCAUUAUUUCAUCUAAGGUAUCAAGACCCAGUUCAAAUAUCACUUUUCUUUCCUCUCCUAGUCACCCUGAGUCAAGUUAAAUAAUUUCUUUUCUGUGCCCCCAAUGCACUGUUUAUACAUUCAUUUUAUACAAUGCUUGCCAUUUACAACUUUAUUCAUGUGUUUUUUUACAGCUCCUGGCCUGUUUUUUUACAGCUAUUCCCACUGGCCAAUGAAUAGAGACCUCUAAGAUGCAUAGACGACCUGCAAUUAUCUUUAUAUUUCUCCCCACACCUGGCAUAUUUCCUGACACAUUAAACUUUCUCGAAAAUGUAUCUCGCCCCAGCCUCAAAACAGGACAUCCAAUGUCUCAUUGAAACCCCGUACAUUUCCCUUAAAUUCCUCCAUUUUCCAUCUCAAAUCAGAGGGUGUGUUAUAAGAAGGGGAAGUGGUUUCAUUAAAACAUCAUCGAGUACAAGUACAGCCCAGCCCCUCAAGCUGAUUGUUGUCAUGGAAGACUGUUCCCCAUGUGAGGCGAGCAUCAUAAGGGCAGGGUGGCCUUGUCUUUCCUGGAUUGUACAAAUAUUUAGAGAGAGCAGUGAGAACAGAGGAGUAGAAUCUCUGCCAUUUUCACCAAGGUGCUCUGGAGCAUAGGCUCACUGUUGAGAACUGGCACAUGAUUCCAUGUGCAUUGUGCCAACUUGGCUGUCUGGGUGCUUCUUUCAGUCCCAUCCACUGGCUCCAAUUUCUUCUGGGUUUCCAGUAAAAGGACACAGAGCCACAAAGAACAUUCAAAUGUAACCUGAUGGUUGAGUUACAAGCUUGCGUCGCAUGUUGCCGACACAAGUAAGAUCACGUUACUCCCGAGGGAGGAGGAAUUCUCAGCACAGUUUCCAUUGCCUGGCCUGAGCAACUGAGCUCUAGAGUCAGUGUCAUAUUCCCAGGGGAGCCUCUGCCUUCUGGCAAGAAAAGGUUCUUCCAUGAAAUGCCUGGCACUAAUCAGCCUUGUUAGAGACUCAGAAUAGAAACCUGUGGAGGGGAUCUGGGUAUUUGCAUCCUCAGCAGAGUGAUGGAUUUGUUUGACCCUGUUGGUUCAACCCAGCCCUGCCCCCUAAAGACUCUAGUCCUGGAAAGAUACAUGGUUGUGCAGCCUGCGUACUAAUUGUGCAAGCUUUUUUUGGACAAAAUAACUCAUAAGGUCUGGAGUCUGCUGCUGUCUUCCCAACAGAUGUCCUCCUCUGUUUGUGUUGUAGUUUGGCUCCAUGUGUGCUGCGUGCCCGAAUGAUUCUUGAUAAAAAGUGCUGUUUAGAAAAAAGGAACUGCUAAAAGGAAAUUUUUAGAUAAAAAUGGAUUGUGUUACAGCCUUUCUAUGCCUAAUAAUGAAAAAAGAUUCAACUGUAUACAGCUUAAAAUGAUCUGUUACACACAUUCCAACACAAAAGAGCUGAAAUUGAGUUUGAUUCCCUAAAUACAGACAGACAUACACACACACUCUAGAUAGAUAGAUAGAUAGAUAGAUAGAUAGAUAGACAGACAGACAGACAGACCAGCCCAGGACUUUCAGAAAGAAAACAAAGCAGAUGAGGAAAUGUGUCUCCUCAGACACAUCUUUUAAAGACGGGGGUCGGGUCGCCAGGUGAUGAUUUUUCGCUGUUCUAUCACACAGAAAUUGAAACCGAGGCCUUUGGGGUAGAAUGUGAGACCGUCUCUCAUCAAUAUAUGACAUGAUCUGGCCUUCUAGCAUGUCUAUAUUUUGAGCCUAUUCAGGUCAUAAUGAAAAUGCAUCCAGUUCUCUUUGGAAGAGAAUGCAUAUUUGUCAGAAAAACACCGAUUUAAUCACAUUCUCUUAUCAGAGCAAUGAACUAUUAAAACCCAUGGAGC
rnacentral:lncRNA from 1 species